UUUCAAACAAUUUUAAAAAGUAACACAAGAACAGCUAAUAUGUUCAGCCUUAUUGGCUUGCUCAUACGAAAAGUGUAGCGGUGAUUCAAAGCUUUCGCAUCCAAUUAUCUUUUGCUAGUUUACAGCACAAAUUUACGCGAAGGUGAAAUAACAUUUUUGAGUUAUCAAAUUAUAGCGGGAAAUCUGCUUUUAAUGGACUAGUCAGUAAUUUAGUAGCGGCCGCCUUGUCUCAUAAAUAGAAACAUAGAACAUCUGGAGAAGUUCAAGAAAAAUAGCGAAAAUGAGAAAACUGUGUUUUAAACCUUUGUCCAAUAAUGAUAAUGUUUUCUACUAGCAUAUCCUUCUAUGAGCACAUGAGAAAAAGAAAUAUUCUUUCGCUCAGUUCGGUUUUAACGUUGGAACAGUCUUUGGCCUUUAUUAAAAACUUGAAGUUCAUAAACUAAAAACAACAAAAACAUUGUGCUUUAUGCAAAUUUCGUGUGCAAUAAAAGUUCGGGUAUCCGUUUAUGAUGUUUUAGCACGAAAGCCGACUAUUGACAGUAACACUGGUAAUAGCUCUUUUUACUAAAAACCCUCAUCGAAAAGGUAGUUCCGUAUCUGAUUACAAGGCCGAUCGUGCAAAAAUACUAAAGACCGAGGAAUAUGUAAUCGUGCAGUUUUAUAACAUACUCUUCCGUUGCUUAAGUUAUUAAUCUGAAUUUAGUCUGUUUAAUCCGUUACAUGAAAAAUUUAGCCUUUCAGGAGCUUGAAGAAAUGAUUUAAGAUCAAAACGCUUUCAUGUAAUCACCUAACAAAAAUGCUAGAUUUUGUUAUUAUUUAUUAUUGAAAUUCCCCCAUAAACCUCGAAAUUUUAAGACCGGUCAAGUUAUCAUUUGAGGCUAACAGGCGGCCUUCAAGCAUUUAAAACGAAAGACCGUAUUCAUAGAUUAUUUAUUGGUAAUCUCAAUGAGGCUAGUACCUUUGAUCUGUUACUACUUGCGAACAUACUAUUUGUCUCCAAAUGUUUGCUGUAGUGUAUGCUCGCGCUCCCUCAAUCGUUCAGAAAGUUCAAAGCAAUGCAAUUUCAAUUCAGAGUUUACUUUUUCCAAUUUUCGAACUCGCUUUGUUUCUCUCAUCAACUGCUCUUGAAAAACUGACCGCAGUGACUUUUCGGAUUUUGCGUUCUUACCUGGCAUAAACUCCUCACAAGGAAUUUGUUUUUCUUCUAAGAAGAUUUCCUUGUAAGCUUCAAGUUCUAAAAUAACUUUUUCAAGAUCUUCUUGCUUCAUCUGAAGUUCAUUUGCUAACAUGCGUUUGGAUUCGGCCAAAUAAGUAUACGCAUUUUCCAAUGAAUCGUAUACCAUCCCCUCCUUGAAGUGCAGUUCAGGUACUACAGCAUUAUUCUGUAAGUCAAUGUUCAAUGACUCAUCCUUUUGGACAACAAUAUUUCUCACGUCAACAUUUUCUCCCAAUAAUUUUCUGUUUUUAUCCAUAUCGCGCAGAGCUAUGUCUGACAUCUCUUUAAAUACGGAAACUUUCUCACCAGAUGGGGACUUAGUGAUUGAGAUUUUUGUGUUGUUGGAAAUAGAAGAUGAAUCAUUAAAGCUUUUGACUAAUUUACUAACCCUUCCUGAGAUAGAAGUAUUAUUUUCGCUUUCUUGCCCUAGUUGCUCAAAGUCUGAACAAGAAGGUGAUCUGCAAUCAGUAUUUACACCGAUAAGCUUAUCUUCAAGUAACGACUGAAGAGUAAUUUUAUAAUUCCUUAACUCGAUUUCCUUCGUUUGGUAUUCUUGAUCCUUUUGUACAAACUUUUUUGUUAUAUAAGUCAGCUCAUCAGAAAGUGUAUGUUCAUCAAGAUCUUCAAGCUUUGUAGAUGGAUUAAUUCCAGCUUGAGAGCAUACGUUUUUGUAAACAAUGAACAAAAGAUUAAAUAUUGAAAUUCCUUUUCGUACACUUUCGGAAAUUUGGGAUUCGGUAGCAUUAGAUGAAUCACUUUUAGCGAACGAUGGCUCGACAAGCUGUAAAAAAGAAUAGAGGUGCUCUUUUUUAUUAAUAAAUGAUUGAUAAGAGUUUAACAAACUGGCUAAUUUGGAUUCACUUAACUCCAAUUGCUGCUUCAAUAUCUCAUUCUCCUUAUUCGCGGUUUCCAGGUGUGCUCUACCUUCAGAAAGUUUGGAGUUUACUGAAUUUAACUCUGCAUUCUUUUCAGAAAUCUCACACUGUAAACUAUUGUUAGUUUGACUUAAAGUCUCCAAACUGUCAUGGAGCUUCUCAAUAGUUAGCUCUUGAUCCCUGAUUUGGCUUUUUAAAAAUGCAGAGCGCCCGAUUUCAUCGUCAAGAUUUCCCUUAGUGUUUUUUAAAUCCUUCUGUAAUCCAUCCCGUUCAUCAGUCAAACUAAAGACCGUGUCAAAUUGAGAGAGUUGCUCAUCCUUUAGGCAUUUCAUUUCUUCAUCAAGUCUCAAAACCUUACUUGAUUCCACUUCAAGAUUGUUCUUUAAUUCAUUAAGUUCUUCCAUAAGAUAUUCAUUUUUUCGAAAUACAUUCUCCAUAUCCUUUAUUGACGACUGUAUUUGUUCUUGAUAAAGUAGAUCCCUUUGUUCACUAACAGAAGACUGAAACUCCAAUAAGCCUGCUUUUUCUCUAAGACUUUCGGAAAGUCUUGAAAUUUUUAAUUCUUUUGCUCGAAAAUCAUCAUCAUAAUGACUAAUUAAUGCCUCCUUGUUGUUUAACUUUUGACGCGCUUCUUUCAUCUCGGUUUCAUAAUUGGCGUUCAUUUCUCUCAGAUUUUUUUCAUCAUUUUUAACAGUUUCUAGAGCUUCUUGCAAUGACUGAUUUCUUUCUAGCAACGCUUUGAUUUGAUCCUGUAACUUCUCGGUUUCAAGUUUUAAAUCCCUGUUUUGGGUUUGAAUUUCAUUAAUAGAAUUUUGAGCUAUAGAAAGCUUUUCUUCAUAACUGAUAGUUUUAUUUUCGGCUUGUUUCAAAUUUGACGCUACUAUACUUAGAGAUUUCUGCAACAACUGACGCGCGGCUUCACUGUUAAACUUGUCUUCCAAUGCGUUGUUAUGCUUGGACACAAGGCACACAUACUUGUCGUUCAUAAUAGAAGAAUGAAGUUUGAGCUCCUCAACAAGAGAACAUAAAUAGGCAAUUCGUUUCAGAGAUGUGUCACUCCAAUCACUAUUCGAUGACUCCAUAUCUUUUAGAACAUCAGGUAAUUCAUAAUCGCCAAAUAAGAAUUUCCAUGUUUUUUCUAACGAAUGGCAUCGUCGUAGUUGAAUUUCUGUGUUUAGUUGCCUUGCUUGAAAGGAAAAGUUUACUUGAAGCAUAACAUUGUGCACUUGAAGUAGUUCAGUCAAAGUAGCAAAAGAUUUAAAUCGAGAAAGUAAUUGAGAAAAUGUUUGGUUAUCUAAAGAAAAUUUAUAAAGCGUC